GGUGAGAUGGCCGAGCGGUCCAAGGCGCCAGACUAAGGUGCACCUGAAUCAUUGUCGAUCAACAGCAACCUUCAUCUGGUCUCUUCGGGGGCGGGAGUUCGAAUCUCCCUCUCAUCA
rfam:Termitomyces sp. J132 unplaced genomic scaffold scaffold154, whole genome shotgun sequence.